rnacentral:rRNA from 1 species
UACGGAGGGUGCAAGCGUUAUCCGGAUUCACUGGGUUUAAAGGGAGCGUAGGAGGGCAGGUAAGUCAGUGGUGAAAUCUUCGAGCUUAACUCGGAAACUGCCGUUGAUACUAUCUGUCUUGAAUGCCGUGGAGAUGAGCGGAAUAUGUCAUGUAGCGGUGAAAUGCUUAGAUAUGACAUAGAACACCGAUUGCGAAGGCAGCUCGUUACACGAACAUUGACUCUGAGGCUCGAAAGCGUGGGGAUCAAGCAGG